rnacentral:rRNA from 1 species
UAGGGAAUCUUCGGCAAUGGACGAAAGUCUGACCGAGCAACGCCGCGUGAGUGAAGAAGGUUUUCGGAUCGUAAAACUCUGUUGUUAGAGAAGAACAAGGACGUUAGUAACUGAACGUCCCCUGACGGUAUCUAACCAGAAAGCCACGGCUAACUACGUGCCAGCAGCCGCGGUAAUACGUAGGUGGCAAGCGUUGUCCGGAUUUAUUGGGCGUAAAGCGAGCGCAGGCGGUUUCUUAAGUCUGAUGUGAAAGCCCCCGGCUCAACCGGGGAGGGUCAUUGGAAACUGGGAGACUUGAGUGCAGAAGAGGAGAGGGGAAUUCCAUGUGUAGCGGUGAAAUGCGUAGAUAUAUGGAGGAAAACCAGUGGCGAAGGCGGCUCUCUGGUCUGUAACUGACGCUGAGGCUCGAAAGCGUGGGGAGCAAACAGG